rnacentral:rRNA from 1 species
AUUGAACGCUGGCGGCAUGCCUUACACAUGCAAGUCGAACGGCAGCACGGGGGCAACCCUGGUGGCGAGUGGCGAACGGGUGAGUAAAGCAUCGGAACGUACCCGGAAGUGGGGGAUAACGUAGCGAAAGUUACGCUAAUACCGCAUAUUCUGUGAGCAGGAAAGCAGGGGAUCGCAAGACCUUGCGCUUUCGGAGCGGCCGAUGUCGGAUUAGCUAGUUGGUGGGGUAAAGGCCUACCAAGGCGACGAUCCGUAGCGGGUCUGAGAGGAGGAUCCGCCACACUGGGACUGAGACACGGCCCAGACUCCUACGGGAGGCAGCAGUGGGGAAUUUUGGACAAUGGGGGCAACCCUGAUCCAGCCAUGCCGCGUGAGUGAAGAAGGCCUUCGGGUUGUAAAGCUCUUUCGGCGGGGAAGAAAUCGCGCAGGUUAAUACCUUGCGUGGAUGACGGUACCCGAAUAAGAAGCACCGGCUAACUACGUGCCAGCAGCCGCGGUAAGAC